GUAGACCAGGCUGGCCUAGAACGCC
rnacentral:piRNA from 1 species